rnacentral:rRNA from 1 species
CAUCGCAAGAGUAAGACCCCUUGAAGAGAACGAGGUAGAUAGGACUGAGGUGUAAGUGUAGCAAUACAUUCAGCUGACAGUUACUAAUAGGUCGAGGGCUUAUCCAA